AUUAAAUGGUUACAGGAAACGGAAUAUCCAAAAAAACAAGAGAUAGAAUAGAAACAGAUAUUGACUCAAUGGAAAAGUAAGGGUUGUGACAUAUAAUGGUUAUAACGGAAUAUCACUAUAUAACAAUUGUUAUGUCACGAAGCUUAGACAUAACGAUUGAACCAUUCUAAAAAAAAAAUCCAUCUCUAUUCAAGGCAAAGACUCUAUUCCUAAAAAACAUCUAUCUUUGGCCUUUCAACUGUUGUGAUUGGACCGCAAUUUUGUGAUUGGACCGCCACCUUUUGAUUGGAUCGCCACUGAUUAGUCUUCUGUAGACGAAAUGUGUCUGUCUGUUUGUUCGUUCUUUCAUGAAGCUCACCGAAUAGGAACAAUAGGACAAGUGAGCUGUGCAUAUUUUAUGGUUAUAGGAAACAGAAUAUCCCCAAAACAAGAGAUAAACUAGAAACCGAUAUUGACUCAAUAUUAAAGUUAGGAUUGUGACAUUAAAUGGUUAUAGGAAACGGAAUAUCACAAAACAAGAGAUAGAAUAGAAACAGAUAUUUAUAUGUUACGAACAUGUAUCAUUACUCGUAACGAUCUAGCGCCCUCGUUGGAAAGUUCUUUGGCUAAUAUCUAGACGUUUUAUACAUUAUGAAUUGUUUAAUGGUUUAAUGUGAGUGUAAAAUCAUGAUCAACUCUGAAAUUUUUAAAAAUAUACAGAGAGGGAAAGAACGUGUUUCGUUUAUCAUGCACUCCAGCAGCACCUGCAUACGGGGUAUAUAUCUCCCAAUUGAUACGAUAUUCCCGUGCUUGCAUUUCCUAUCAUGAUUUUCUUGAUAGAGGUUGCUGCUCACAAGGAAGAUAUUAAACCAAGAGUUCCAAAUGGUGAAGUUGAAAUCAUCCCUUCGUAAAUUUUACGGACGCCAUCACGAGUUGGUUGAAUGUUAUGGAAUAACCGUUUCACAAAUGAUAUCGGAUAUGUUCCUUACGUCGUAACUACAAACCCCUUCCCUUUCAUGAAUGUGACCUACCGAAUUAGACUAUUUACCGGAUUUGUUAUCACAUAAGCAACACGACGGGUGCCACAUGUGGAGCAGGAUCUGCUUACCCUUCCGGAGCACCUGAUAUCACCCCUAGUUUUUUUUGGUGGGUUCGUGUUGUUUAUUCUUUAGUUUUCUAUGUUGUGUCGUGUAUGCUGUUGUUUGUUUGUCUUUUUCAUUUUUAGCCAUGGCGUUGUCAGUUUGUUUUAGAUUUAUGAGUUUGACUGUCCCUUUGGUAUCUUUCGUCCCUCUUUUACAAGUCAUUAUAUUUUUAAAAGUGUUAAAUUUAUAAGUUAAGCUACAAUGUAUACCAUAGGUGUUUUUGUUGCUGUUGUUAUAUUACUUUAUAUACGUCUAUUGUUUACAUGUGUGUAAUAGUAUAUUAAUUACGUUUAUCCAUAUUGUUAACAUUGUAUGU
rnacentral:lncRNA from 1 species